rnacentral:rRNA from 1 species
UACGUAGGGUGCAAGCGUUGUCCGGAAUUAUUGGGCGUAAAGAGCUCGUAGGCGGUCUGUCGCGUCGGCUGUGAAAACUCGGGGCUCAACUCCGAGCUUGCAGUCGAUACGGGCAGGCUAGAGUUCGGCAGGGGAGACUGGAAUUCCGAUGGUGUAGCGGUGAAAUGCGCAGAUAUCAGGAGGAACACCGGUGGCGAAGGCGGGUCUCUGGGCCGAUACUGACGCUGAGGAGCGAAAGCGUGGGGAGCGAACAGG